rnacentral:misc_RNA from 1 species
AACGCACAUUGCGCCCGUUAGUAUUCUAGCGGGCAUGCCUGUUCGAGCGUCAUUUCAACCCUCGGGCCCUUGUGGUCUGGUGUUGGGGGUUCUCCUGCGGCUGCCGCAGGCCCCUAAAAAAUAGUGGCGGGCUCCGCUAUACUCCGAGCGCAGUAAUACCUCUCGCUCAGGGCGUGUGGCGGGGAUCCCAGCCCCCUAUACCAUCAUAACAUGUUGACCUCGGAUCAGGUAGGAAUACCCGCUGAACUUAA